rnacentral:rRNA from 1 species
AUGGGUAUUAACCACACUGACCGUUCUUCCCUGCUGACAGAGCUUUACGACCCAAAGGCCUUCAUCACUCACGCGGCGUCCCUGGAUCAGGCUUGCGCCCAUUGUCCAGAAUUCCUCACUGCUGCCUCCCGUAGG